UCUACAAAGACAUUCAAUUAUUUUUAUGAAAAUAUAUCUUAUUUUUGUUUAUCUAAUAAAAUAUAAAAGUUAUAGAUUAAAAGUUAUGUUUUUAUAUUAUAUAAUCUAUUUUAAACUUUAUUUAUAUAAAUAUAAAAUGUAAUCCAUCCCUAAAUUUUUUCCCACCAAUUGAUCAAAAAUUUUAACCAACUUCCAAAUUUAUAGGCAAGUGACUCCUCCCUCCCUUCCCAAUACUCCUUUAUUAUAUUUUGAUAGUUUUAUACUAUUAAUUAUUUUUAGAUAUUACAACAUUUUACUGAAAUUGUUAAAGGGCCAAAUUUGGGUCAAUUUUUAACAAGAUUUAGAUUUCAGCUAAUUAUCUAAAAUAUUAAUCAUAUUGUUUUUAAAAAUCAAUCCAAAUUGUUUUUUUAAACUAUAUUUUACCCAAAACAAUAUAUAUAUACAGAUUGUUUGUAAUAUGCAAAAUUUGAUUUCAAACUAAAAUUAAAGAAAUAUUUACAUUAGAAACUGUCAAGCCCAUUGGCUUGGUUAGGCCAAAAGAAUAAUAAUUUUUUUAAAUUUAUAGUUAAUAUUUUUAAAUAAAUUACUUAAUUUUAAUUUAUAUAUUUUUUAUUUUAAUAUUUAUGUUUUCUUCUGAUCUCUUCUCACCUCAUUGUUUUUAUUUAUAUUACUCUAUAAUUUUAUUGUUUUAAUUUAAUUAUAAAUAUUUAAUAACCUAUUAUUUAUUAUUUUUCAAAAACAUUUUACCUAAAUAGUUAAUGCUGCUUGUUAUUAAUAAGAUAAAAAUAUUAACAAUAAAAUAAAAAUAUUAACAAUAGCAAUAGAUCAUAUUAGUACAUCAAUCAGAGACAAAGAUUGGACUUUUCGAGAGGCGUGUUUUGAAAUAGCAAGGAGAGAAAAAUACGGCUUGCCACAUGUAGACAUGAACCUAAUCCCACCUGAGAGGGUGAUUUUGCCGUCCGACGAAGAACUUGGAGAUUUUGAAAUCAUUAUUUAAUUAUAUUUUUUGUGAAUUCAAUAAAGAAAUGCAUUUU